rnacentral:tRNA from 1 species
UAAGACCUGCAGGACUCUAUCCAACAUCACCUGAAUGCAACUCAAGUACUUUUAUUAAGCUAAGGCCUU